rnacentral:rRNA from 1 species
GACGAACGCUGGCGGCGUGCUUAACACAUGCAAGUCGAGCGGUAAGGCCCUUCGGGGUCCACGAGCGGCGAACGGGUGAGUAACACGUGAGUAAUCUGCCCAUCACUUCGGGAUAACUCCGGGAAACCGGUGCUAAUACCGAAUAUGACCACUUCAGGCAUCUGAUGGUGGUGGAAAGUUCCGGCGGUGAUGGAUGAGCUUGCGGCCUAUCAGCUUGUUGGUGGGGUAGUGGCCUACCAAGGCUUCGACGGGUAGCCGGCCUGAGAGGGUGACCGGCCACACUGGGACUGAGACACGGCCCAGACUCCUACGGGAGGCAGCAGUGGGGAAUAUUGGACAAUGGGCGAAAGCCUGAUCCAGCAACGCCGCGUGAGGGAUGACGGCCUUCGGGUUGUAAACCUCUUUCAGCAGGGACGAAGCGCAAGUGACGGUACCUGCAGAAGAAGCACCGGCCAACUACGUG